UUCAUAGUCACAAAGUCAUCUCCAUCAGCAUUCCUUACCUUCGACCUCCACCCACAGUCUCCUCUCCACCCCGUAACUCUAUCCCUCACAGCACCUCGCCUUCCUUCACCCCUAAGUACUCAAGCCUUACAAUACUUUUCCUUCUCCUUGUACUCUCCUCACACGGACAGUCAAGGCAACAAAUCAACACCCACGUCAUCCCGAUCAGACCGAACGUUGCUAUUUGCAUUCGCUGGCGCCAAAUCGUGCACGCUUUUGUGUUUUGUUUUCCUGGGUUCAGAUUCUCGAACGUUUCGGGACGCACCUACCCACAUUUGUUAAGGCUUUAGUAGAGGUUGUUGGGUUAGUAUUUCCAGAGGUUGUUGUGUUAAUAUUUCCAGAGGUUGUUGUGUUAAUAUUUCCAGAGGUUGUUGUGUUAGUAUUUCCAGAGGUUGUUGUGUUAAUAUUUCCAGAGGUUGUUGUGUUAAUAUUUCCAGAGGUUGUUGUGUUAAUAUUUCCAGAGGUUGUUGUGUUAAUAUUUCCAGAGGUUGUUGUGUUAAUAUUUCCAGAGGUUGUUGUGUUAAUAUUUCCAGAGGUUGUUGUGUUAAUAUUUCCAGAGGUUGUUGUGUUAAUAUUUCCAGAGGUUGUUGUGUUAAUAUUUCCAGAGGUUGUUGUGUUAAUAUUUCCAGAGGUUGUUGUGUUAAUAUUUCCAGAGGUUGUUGUGUUAGUAACGAGCAGCCUUUUUCUUUUCUCAUUUGCUUCAGUUAUUAUGUUUUUGUCAGUUCAUUAGUUUUCUUCCUUCUGCAAUAUUUUUAACUUUUUAUUUCAUUGUCCCUCAAAUCAUACAACUCUCAGCCCAUGUCCUCCAUUUGAAUUCGUUAGUUUCUUUAUUUACUUCAUUCGUUUUAUUUUUCUGCUUCUCCACGAUUUUUUUUUCAUACUACGGCGCUAACGUUAACCCUUGCAUGCAGGAUAUAUGUAUGUGUGUUUCGCGUCUCUUUACAUUUGCACUUCUUAUCACCUUUUAUAGCAUUCCUUCGAGUGUUCAUGUUAACCACUUGCAUUCUUGGCCCUCGGUGUUAUCUCCUUAACCCGUCCGCUGCGAUUGGCUCGGAUCCGGCUUUCACUGGUAGCCUGGUAACAUAUAGUCCCAAGUCCUUCUCUGCCU